rnacentral:rRNA from 1 species
CCUACGGGAGGCAGCAGUGAGGAAUAUUGGUCAAUGGACGAGAGUCUGAACCAGCCAAGUAGCGUGAAGGAUGACUGCUCUAUGGGUUGUAAACUUCUUCUAUAAAGGAAUAAAACGAGGCACGUGCGCAUUUUUGCAUGUACUUUAUGAAUAAGGAUCGGCUAACUCCGUGCCAGCAGCCGCGGUAAUACGGAGGAUCCGAGCGUUAUCCGGAUUUAUUGGGUUUAAAGGGAGCGUAGAUGGGUUUUUAAGUCAGUUGUGAAAGUUUGCGGCUCAACCGUAAAAUUGCAAUUGAUACUGGCAGUCUUGAGUACAGUUGAGGUAAGCGGAAUUCGUGGUGUAGCGGUGAAAUGCUUAGAUAUCACGAAGAACCCCGAUUGCGAAGGCAGCUUACUAAACUGUGACUGACAUUGAUGCUCGAAAGUGUGGGUAUCAAACAGGAUUAGAUACCCUUGUAGUC